rnacentral:rRNA from 1 species
ACGUAGGGGGCGAGCGUUGUCCGGAAUGACUGGGCGUAAAGGGCGCGUAGACGGUUUUUUAAGUCUGGAGUGAAAGUCCUGCUUUCAAGGUGGGAAUUGCUUUGGAGACUGGAAGACUUGAGUGCGGAAGAGGUAAGUGGAAUUCCCAGUGUAGCUGUGAAAUGCGUAUAGAUGAGGAAGAACGCCAUUGGCGAAGGCGACUUACUGAGCCGUAACUGACGUUGCUGCGCGAAAGCGUGGGGAGCGAACAG